rnacentral:rRNA from 1 species
GACGAACGCUGGCGGCGCGCCUAACACAUGCAAGUCGAGCGGAGAUACUUGAAGGAAGCUUUCGGAUGGAAUUUGAGUAUUUUAGCGGCGGACGGGUGAGUAACGCGUGAGUGACCUGCCUUCCACAGGGGGAUAACGUACCGAAAGGUUCACUAAUACCGCAUGAGACCACAGCACUGCCUGGUGCAGGGGUCAAAGGAGCAAUCCGGUGGAAGAUGGACUCGCGUCCGAUUAGAUAGUUGGUGGGGUAACGGCCUACCAAGUCAGCGAUCGGUAGCCGACCGGAGAGGGUGAUCGGCCACAUUGGAACUGGGAGACGGUCCAAACUCCUACGGGAGGCAGCAGUGGGGAAUAUUGGGCAAUGGGGGAAACCCUGACCCAGCGACGCCGCGUGAGGGAAGAAGGUUUUCGGAUUGUAAACCUCUGUUCUUGGUGAAGAGGGAAAGACGGUAGCCAAGGAGGAAGCCCCGGCUAACUACGUGCCAGCCGCCGCCGUAA